rnacentral:rRNA from 1 species
GUGGUAAUGCCGGAUGCUCCAGUUGGAUGCAUGUCCUUCUGGGAAAGAUUCAUCGGUAUGGGAUGGGGUCGCGUCCUAUCAGCUUGAUGGCGGGGUAACGGCCCACCAUGGCUUCGACGGGUAGCCGGCCUGAGAGGGCGACCGGCCACAUUGGGACUGAGAUACGGCCCAGACUCCUACGGGAGGCAGCAGUGGGGAAUAUUGCACAAUGGGCGCAAGCCUGAUGCAGCGACGCCGCGUGCGGGAUGACGGCCUUCGGGUUGUAAACCGCUUUUGACUGGGAGCAAGCCCUUCGGGGUGAGUGUACCUUUCGAAUAAGCACCGGCUAACUACGUGCCAGCAGCCGCGGUAAUACGUAGGGUGCAAGCGUUAUCCGGAAUUAUUGGGCGUAAAGGGCUCGUAGGCGGUUCGUCGCGUCCGGUGUGAAAGUCCAUCGCUUAACGGUGGAUCCGCGCCGGGUACGGGCGGGCUUGAGUGCGGUAGGGGAGACUGGAAUUCCCGGUGUAACGGUGGAAUGUGUAGAUAUCGGAAA